rnacentral:rRNA from 1 species
GACGAACGCUGGCGGCGUGCCUAAUACAUGCAAGUCGAACGCUGAAGGAGGAGCUUGCUCUUCUGGAUGAGUUGCGAACGGGUAAGUAACGCGUAGGUAACCUGCCUGGUAGCGGGGGAUAACUAUUGGAAACGAUAGCUAAUACCGCAUAACAGUAGAUGUUGCAUGACAUUUGCUUAAAAGGUGCAAUUGCACCACUACCAGAUGGACCUGCGUUGUAUUAGCUAGUUGGUGGGGUAACGGCUCACCAAGGCGACGAUACAUAGCCGACCUGAGAGGGUGAUCGGCCACACUGGGACUGAGACACGGCCCAGACUCCUACGGGAGGCAGCAGUAGGGAAUCUUCGGCAAUGGACGGAAGUCUGACCGAGCAACGCCGCGUGAGUGAAGAAGGGUUUCGGAUCGUAAAGCUCGGUUGUAAGAGAAGAACGAGUGUGAGAGUGGAAAGUUCACACUGUGACGGUAUCUGACCAGAAAGGGACGGCUAACUACGUG